CAGAGGGAGCGAUCGAGCAAGAUAGACGUCACAGGCUCGCAGCUUGCCGUUAGCCCAUUUCGGACCUCACCGGACGUUGAUUUAUUAUUUCGGGAGGCAAAUUGAAGUAUAUUAUAGAGAGAAGGUCGUUUCAUUCCCGACAGCAGACCACGCGGUGCACUUUUCUUUCACAUAACACAAAACAAACAGCCAGGGUGGAGGCAGGGCGAGCCGGCAAACGUAACAUCUGUGACGUCAGCGCGUGUUCCGCCGGGUCUUGCCUCCGCACUUAGGCUGGGGGGCCACUGAGCGAGAUCAAUUGACUUGAACGUAUCUGAAUCCCGAGAUCGCUAGUGUGUACUGAUGGAGAAGAGGAGGUCGGACUGUCCAGCUCUGCCACCCGGCUGGAAGAAGGAAGAAGUGAUCAGGAAGUCCGGUUUGAGCGCCGGCAAAAGCGACAUCUAUUACUACAGUCCUACAGGGAAAAAGUUCCGGAGUAAACCUCAAUUGUCCCGUUACCUUGGAAACAAAGUAGAUUUGGCGUGUUUCGACUUCCGGACGGGGAAGAUGAUGCCUGGCAAACUGCAGAAGAACAAACAGAAACUCCGACAUGACCAACUGAGCCUGGCAAAGGGAGGUAAGCCUGACCUGAACACGAGUUUGCCCAUCAGACAGACGGCAUCCAUCUUUAAACAGCCUGUUACCAAGAUUACAAAUCACCCGGGAAACAAGGUAAAGACAGACCUACAGAGAGCGACUGAGCAGCCCAGACAGCUUUUUUGGGAGAGGAGGUUAACAGGUUUGCGAUCAUCAGAUGUCUCACAGGAAGUGCUAAGAACAAUGGAGCUGCCGAAAGUCCUACAGAGUGUUGGUCUCAGCUCAAGUGAUGACACUCUGCUGUCUGCAAUUGCAAGUGCUCUCCACAUGAGCUCUGCUCCUAUCACAGGACAGACAUCUGUUGCAGCCGAAAAGAACCCAGCAAUCUGGCUGAACACGUCCCAGCCGCUUUGUAAAGCCUUCACUGUGACUGACGAGCAAAUCCGGGAGCAGGAGCUGAAGGUGCAGCAAGCAAGGAGGAGUCUGGAGGAGGCACUAAUGGCAAACAGCUUGGCACGGGCUGCUGAAAACAGCAAACAGAUGUCGGAAGAAAAAGCGACUUAAAGUCAACAAACAAGAAAAUAGACAGUUGGUGCAUCAGAGAGAGGAGGAAUAAGAUACAAGUCUCCAAGGACGAGUAUACAGGCGCUGAGAUCGCAGAUGUGGAUGGCCGGGACAGCACAACUGUAAUCUCACUAUCACAGCAUGACAUCCCUUCACGUUUUGAGUUUGAAAGAAUUAUUUUGACUCCACAUUGGGGUUGAAGCUCCUCGCCAUCCUAGAAUUAUCGACCAAUGGCAAAAGUAGAGCUUUUGUAAACAUGCUGCUGUUGAAUGGCACAUACAAGCGUUGAUACGCUCACAAAUUAAUGAGAACGUUAAUGACGUAACAAGAUGCCAACUCACAGGGUUCCUCUGUUCACCAGCCUCAGGUUUAUCAUUCUCUUCAUCUGGACCGAAACAACAAACCGACACAAUUCGUGCAGCGUGCCUCUUCAAACAAGUCUUUCCCCUGUGUGACAUCAGACCGGAUAUAAAAAGCCUCUCUCUCAUUAACAUGAAAACAAGUAACAGUAACUAUUGUAGCAACAGAGAGUACUCUGCUAAAAGAGGAAAAAGAGCAAGCCUCUGAUCAAAACGUUCCGUGAACUUUUAAAUAAGCUCUUAUUGUGUGUCCGUUUCAAACUUAUGAUAAGUACUUUUAAAAUGAGCAUCACCCUCAUAUUAGAAGAUAACAGGUUGCAAACUGCUGGACGGCCUUUGCUAACUGCUUAAUUUACUCUUCCUGUGCUCUCUGAUGAUUUUUGAUGUCGAAAUUUUGUUCAGAUUCAGGGUUUUUCAUUGAGUAAUGAAUUUACAUGAAUAUGAAAAUGAAAAUUUAUUUAAUGCAAAUUUUAUACCUUGACAGAACAGUCAUGUACAUUUUUCAGACUGCCGUAAAUAAAUGAUUAUAUUCGCAAA